rnacentral:tRNA from 1 species
GCUGGCGUGGUGGAAUUGGUAGACACGCUGUCUUGAGGGGGCAGUGGGCGAGACGCCCGUGGGGGUUCGAGUCCCCCCGCCAGCA